CUUCCAAACUCAAGGACAAGAAGCACCUAACAUAACUAUCCACUCACCAAGCCAAGGAAGCUGCACUAAGUCUGAUGAAUCUAGUAAAGAAUAUGCACUAGGCUGCAUCAACCACCUAUGCUCCAUAAAUAAGGAACUUGCACCAGGAAUCAACCUAAGCAAGGAUACCUUGCAUCACACCACUACAACACACUCCCUAAAGUAUAACCAGACUAACCAUACUACACAUCAAACAUGACAUUCAAUCAAGCAAAGACAUUCAACAUUGUGCAAGCCUUACACCAGAAC
rnacentral:lncRNA from 1 species